GAGCUUAGGCCCCAGCAGUGUGGUGUGAAGGAACCUUUGUUUUGUUUUGAUUUGAUUUUUCAUAGACCCCUAAUAUUUAGUGUCAGUUGUCCCGAGUAAAACGGCUAUACUAUAUAGAUCCACAACUAUGGAAAAUAGAACUCACUCAAUAUCCAGGGACUGUAAAAGGUGAGAAGUCACUUCAAUGCUAAACAAACCCUAGAACUUGCUCUAGCUUUUAAAAUAGCACUUUUAAAUUAGCUCCUUUCCCCUUCCUGUUGAUGCAGAUGGAUGUGUGCCUAUCAUUGGUUUUCAGGAAGACAUGAGCACAGAUCAUUUAUAGCUGUCUGGAGUUUGAGGUUAGGAUUGUAAUACCAAGUGGCAUUGGGUUAAGUAGGGAGGAUGCUGUCAGCAAAAUGGUGAUUUUGAUAACUUUAUUUGGUGACAUUUUGAUUUGGAUGAGAAAAUUCUGUUAUUUCCCUAGGGCUUAGAAGGGAUUUAAUUAAAACACAAACCUAGGAAAUAGUUUUGGAUACUAGGGAAUUCAUUUAUAUUGUCUCUCAUUCUCUCCUCGCCUCUCUCUCUCUCUCUCUCUCUCUUUUUUUUUUCUGUCCAUAGUAGCUUUGUAAUGGGAGAAUACAUGGUACAUAAUAGUAAUUCUAAAGAAAGUCGCACUGAUUAUAUAGAUACCAGUUUUAAAAAUGUGCCCUGGCCGGGUAAUUCAGUUGAUUAAAGCAUUACCACGGUUGCAGGUUUGAUCCUCGGUCAGGGCACAUGCAGGAGUCAACCAAUGAAUGCAUGAAUGGGAGAAACAGCAACUCAGUUUCUCUCUCUCUGUUUCUCUCUCUCCCUCUCUCCAUUCCUCUCUUUCAAAUCAGUUAAAACAAACAAACAAACACACACAUAAGGAAAUCCAAAGUGCCUAUUAUUGUUCAAUGGUAGGCCUUACACAUACUAAGCAGGAAAGGAUAACUACCCUACCACUGAUUUGCUGAAUGUUGGUGUUCUCAUUUGGCUGUAAGGGCAACAUGGUAAUAACUCUUGGGAGUCAUAAUAGUUAAUUGUGGCCAAGCAUUGCUUCCCUUGGAAGGAGGAUGCACAUGCAAAGGGAUGUGCACGAUGGUUGAUGAACACGGGAAGGAGAUAAGUGACAAAGGAAAAGGCAGGCCCUGUGAGGUUAGAGGCAAAGCAAGCUGGUUUAGUCCUGUCACUGCUGAGCAGGGGCAAGGAGUGUGUUUCAUUUCUUGUCUCCUGAGUUUAUUUAAAUCACCUGCUGGGGUGGGGAUAGUAGGGGAGAAAGCAUGACAUUAUAAGGCUGAUUAAGAUGCAGAUUAUAUCCGGCUCCUGACACUCCCUUUCACUCCAGCCUGGAAAAAGAAGAUUGCAGAAGAAACCUGCUCUAAGGGAAGGAAGGGAAGAAAGCAAAAGACACCUACCCGCUUCUGAAUGAAAGAUUUUCUGAAUAUAUAUUAUUUUUGGAUUUCUGGUAUCCAUGCCACCCAAACUGAUCGUACAGAGCAGCUCCUGGCUGAAACGCUGGCCAGAGGGUUUGGACCAGGGGCAGGUGACAUUGGGCAGGGGGUCUUUAGGAUGCUGCUGGCAUUAAUUUUGCUGAAGGGGCCUCAUCAGAUACCAAGUCUCCCCUCUCCCAUGGGUGACAGGCAUUGGGCCUUGGAGAGGGCCUCAAUGCAGAUUUCAGCCUUCUCCCCCGCCUCCAGCCCCUCAGCUUUCAGCUCCUGCGGUGGGACCCUCUCUCUUCCUCCUUUUUUCAAUUAAAUGAAUUAAUUACCAGGCAUUUAACUUUUUGCCAGACUUUUUCAUUAUGCCCAGAGUUGUUGCUGAGCGGCAAAGGGAAGUAAUAACAUUCACAGUGAGGGGCAAAUCCUGUUAAUGAACAAAUUAAAGUUCAAACAGUGAUUCAAGUUCACAACCUCUCCGUGGCUCUUCUCUUUAAUAAGAGUUAUAUAUGUUACUUUCCUUGCUCUUUUCUCCCUUUUAUUACUUUUUAAGCUUUUCAUCAACACUGCCGGGGCAUAUCUGAGGCUCCCAACCUUUCAGCUCUGACAAGGACUUGAGCAGUUAUAAUCCCGUCUUAAUUUGGCAACUUUUGUAAAACACAUAAAGGGCCCAGGGGCACCCUUGGUCACCAGGGCCCCCAGUGACCCACCUCCCGCCUGGGCUGCCUGGGCCACUCUAAGUUUGCAUUCCUCUCUGGCAGUCAGGUUCUUACAACUCGGCUUCCCAACCUCAGGGCAUAGUCUGGAGGGCUGACCACCAGUGUCUGAGCCCUUGUGUCUCUCCCUUCCCUCUUCAGUGGUUCUUUCCACCCAUUUGUUUACAGCGCUUGGGGGAAGUGGACGCAGUGAGGAGAGGGACCAGUCUCGGGACUAAAAGCUAGGAGCCUUUAUGGGGAAAGGUGUUUGAGGUAGGAAGGAUGCCUGACCGCCUCCCCACUACCAUUACCAAACACUGCUCCCUGCUGGCCGGGCUGAGGGACCGUGACUGGAAAGACGGGAAAACCCAACCAUCUUUGGCCCUGAAAUGGGGGAAGGCCAGAACCUGGCUGGAAGGAGCCCCCAGAGGUGUCUGGAGCCUGCCUACUUCUCCUCCCCCUCUACUUAUUUAUUUACUUAAUUUGGUACUGUGGAUUGUGUGGGGGUCUUUUCCACCUCCGUGCCUGGCUUCUCACCACGGUCCCCAAGCGUGGCUUGAUAUAAUCACCAUGACAACUGCAAUCUAGGAGCAUACACAUAAUAGAGAUGAAAUAGACAAAAGAUUAGCAUGCCAUGAAAAGUACAAUAAGUUUCUUAUUUAGCAUUUAGAUAACUGUCUUUCCUUCGGAGCAGGCUUCAAAGUUGAAGCCAGUUUAGACCAAGAGGAUUAAUUCUUUCUCCCACAUGCUUCAUUGAAUCUCUCAUUACCAAACUUUGUCUGUAUUGAUGUAAGAUUUGAUUGAAGAUUAGAGCAUUUAGCAAAUCUUGCUUUUCUGCAUGUAUCAGGUCCUUUCAAGCACGGAUCGCGGUGCCCAGUGGUCAAUACCCUUACUUUUAUCCAGUGUCUGCUUCAUUUAAACUUAAUCAACUCCAUCAAUGAACUGGAACAGGGAAACGUCCCUGCGAGUUAGAAGAGAACCAGCCCCCUGUUCCACAAAGGACUGACGUUAGUUUCAGGACACCUGAAUCUGAAGAAUGCUUCAGCCUUUGAGCUCCAGAAAAUAAGUGCAGAGCAACUUAGACCCAUUUCUACAAGUCAAGAAUUGAGAAGGAGAUGGGGAGGAGUGGUUCUCACUAAACACUGAGAACAGGGAUGGCAAGGCUGUUGCUACUACAGUUGGGACGUUUCCCACUCCUCGCUUCUGUUCUCCCCAGGGCCCUGUCUGACACAGAAGCUUCUGUCAGAAACGUUGCUGUCCACACCCGCGUGGAAGACAUCUGCAGAGCUCGCCUUUGGGGCUCCUGUUGGCUGAGGCUUUGAACCAUAGAACUGCAUGUAUCCAAGGGUUUCCUAAACCCUAGAUUGGAGUCAUUUGCAGCACAUAGUCUGAUGCUGCUUCAAAACCAUAGACCCGGGAUACAUCUACAUCCAUAGCGGAGAUGGAAGUCUUGGCAACUAUAGGAUAAAGACUGAAAAUUUUAAAAACAAACACACUGUGUUCAGGGUUAAAACUACCUGUAUUCACAAUGCUGUCUCUUUCCCUCUACAGUCUUACUGCCACCAAGCAACCACAUCAAUCUGGGCUUAUUUCCCUGAUAAUGGACUUAAUUCCAGAUAAACUAUUAGAUAGCUAUGUAUAACAAUAUUCUUUGUUAUCCAGUUUUAUGGAAACAAAAUGUCCUCCCAUCUUAGAGGAAAAUAUUGAACCUAAACUCAGAUAUUUGAAAACAGAUAAUUUAAUAAAGUGUUAAUUUGCAUAUACUGUCUCAUGAUCAUAAUGUGCAUAAGUAUGUUAUAGCAUUUGUUUUUUAGGUGCCUCUUAACAACACAGGGUUGAAACAGGCAGCUUGGUGUCUUGGAAAGAAAUUCAGGUUUUUUUUUUAAAUAAGCUGAAGGAAAUGGCUCUUUUGAUUAAAGGAAAAUAAGCUCAAUUGAUAGUUAAGACCAAAUGAACUUUAACAUUUUAGAACCAAUCCUGAAGUUAAAUUACCAAUAAAAUGCCACCUGGAUCUUAAAAAUGCAAAGGUGUUUAAAAUGAUCA